GAUGAACGCUGGCGGCGCGCUUAACACAUGCAAGUCGAGCGAGAACCAGGACUUCGGUCCUGGGGACAGCGGCGAACGGGUGAGUAACACGUGGAUAACCUGCCCUCGGCACCGGGAUAGCCCGGGGAAACCCGGAUUAAUACCGGAUGGCCCUUCCGGCUCACGAGCCGGUCGGAAAAGGUAGCUUCGGCCUCCGGCCGAGGAUGGGUCCGCGGCGGAUUAGCUUGUUGGUGGGGUAACGGCCUACCAAGGCUCCGAUCCGUAGCUGGUCUGAGAGGACGAUCAGCCACACUGGGACUGAGACACGGCCCAGACUCCUACGGGAGGCAGCAGUGGGGAAUUUUGGACAAUGGGCGCAAGCCUGAUCCAGCAAUGCCGCGUGCAGGAAGAAGGCCUUCGGGUUGUAAACUGCUUUUGUCAGGGAAGAAAUCUUCUGGGUUAAUACCUCGGGAGGAUGACGGUACCUGAAGAAUAAGCACCGGCUAACUACGUGCCAGCAGCCGCCGUAACAC
rnacentral:rRNA from 1 species